rnacentral:lncRNA from 1 species
CAAUGAGGAAGUAUACUGUGCUUCUAUGUGCUGAACUCUGAACGGCCAGACCUCAAAGUGACACAGAGAGUGAGGAGGACCUCACCUGUCAAAACAGGAAAUGCAAAUGCAGCUAACCACUGCAAACUUUCAAAUAAGGGAGUUCAAAAGAGAAAAUGCAGCACUCAGACAAUCUCUAUCUGUUAUUGAAGAGUUGCCAGGUUUGCUCCAGGAGGUGAAAAACCUAGAGAGGGAGAGAAUGAGACAAACAACUUCAAAGGGUCUGUGUGUGUGUUUGGUUUAAGCAUGAUGACCAGAAUAUGAGGAGUAGAGGUUGAGAG